UAUAUAUAUAUAUAUAUAUAUAUAUACAUGUUAUAUAGAAACAACAUUGUUAUGGUUAGCCAUCACCUGAGCAACUUCUCUCUUUCAUAUGUCCAUACAAAACUUGACAUGUGAUGGUUCACGCCCCUCCCCUCCAGCUAUAAUAUGUACAUAGAUCAUUGAAAACAAGCCCUACCUACUGAUGUAUAUCCAAUGUUUUCCUUACCUGAUGGAUAGUAACACCAUAUCUUUUGAUGUCAUUGUUAUAGACUAGCCAUUGUCUUUGUAAUCACCAUGUCAUUCGUGCUUAGUGUUGGCUGUCGGAUGAAACUGUUGACUGCAGGUUGACCUUUUUAUUUUUGUGUUUAGCUAGAUGACUUUGUUUAGCAAUUCUCUGACUGUGUACUAGAUGACUUUGUUUAGCAAUUCUCUGACUUUGUACUAGAUGACUUUGUUUAGCAAUU